rnacentral:rRNA from 1 species
AUUGACCUCAAAUCAGG